UUUUGUUCAAACAGAGAGAGAUUGGAUGGCAUAUGAUCCUACGAAGAGUGUACCAAUGUUUGAUGCCAAUGAUCCGUGCCUCAGUGCCGCCGCCGGCAGCUGGCACCAUGGCUGCCGUUGCCCCAUCUCCUGUGUUCCCCUCCUUGAGAAUCUCCCCCAUCAUUUGUUCGAAGAGCACAUAGUCUUCCAUCUGCUUUCAAAUAAUCGGUUCAAAGUCACGCGAUCAUAACAGUUCAAGAGUUGAAAAAUAUGAUCAUAACAAGACUUGAAAAUCAUGAUCGUGCUUCCUUCUCGGCAGCGAGGCGGCGCUCCUCUGCCUCCACCUCCGUCCUCCUCCAGAACUUGUCGAUCUCGGCCCUUGUGAUGCUGUACACCGGGACUGCCGCCAUGAUCGUUGCAGCUCUGGCCUUUGGGGAGCAGGGACUUUGGUGGGUGCAGAGGAGGGAACUAGCAAGAGGGACGGCACUGCCGGUCUAGCAAUCAACCUCCCCUGUUAUCUGCCCUGGAGUACUUGUUGCUGGCUAGGUUGAGGUGUAGUCAGGUCACCUCAUAUAUAUACACACUGCUACAUCUUUAUCUGCAGGAUCUUGCAUCA